rnacentral:rRNA from 1 species
GACGAACGCUGGCGGCGUGCUUAACACAUGCAAGUCGAACGGUGAACCUCUUCGGAGGGGAUCAGUGGCGAACGGGUGAGUAACACGUGGGCAACCUGCCCCCGGCUCUGGGAUAACUCCAAGAAAUUGGGGCUAAUACCGGAUGUUCACCGCUUCCCGCAUGGGUGGUGGUGGAAAGGGUUUCCGGCUGGGGAUGGGCCCGCGGCCUAUCAGCUUGUUGGUGGGGUAGUGGCCUACCAAGGCGACGACGGGUAGCCGGCCUGAGAGGGUGACCGGCCACACUGGGACUGAGACACGGCCCAGACUCCUACGGGAGGCAGCAGUGGGGAAUAUUGCGCAAUGGGCGGAAGCCUGACGCAGCGACGCCGCGUGGGGGAUGACGGCCUUCGGGUUGUAAACCUCUUUCAGCAGGGACGAAGCGCAAGUGACGGUUCCUGCAGAAGAAGCACCGGCCAACUACGUG